rnacentral:ncRNA from 2 species
UGUCCUAAUACUUAACCUGUUCUGCGAAACUACUUCAGGAGCAAGGGAACCCGGUGCGAGUCCGGGGCGGUCCCGCCACUGUAACCCCGAUUUUGCGUGCCCGAGCCGAUCCCCUUUGGGAGAAGCCGCAUGCGGGGCAAGCCAGAAAACCCGCCUGAAGCAAUUCUCUUAA